rnacentral:rRNA from 1 species
GACGAACGCUGGCGGCGUGCUUAACACAUGCAAGUCGAACGGAAAGGCCCUGCUUUUGUGGGGUGCUCGAGUGGCGAACGGGUGAGUAACACGUGAGUAACCUGCCCUUGACUUUGGGAUAACUUCAGGAAACUGGGGCUAAUACCGGAUAGGAGCUCCUGCUGCAUGGUGGGGGUUGGAAAGUUUCGGCGGUUGGGGAUGGACUCGAGGCUUAUCAGCUUGUUGGUGGGGUAGUGGCUUACCAAGGCUUUGACGGGUAGCCGGCCUGGGAGGGUGACCGGCCACAUUGGGACUGAGAUACGGCCCAGACUCCUACGGGACGCAGCAGUGGGGAAUAUUGCACAAUGGGCGGAAGCCUGAUGCAGCAACGCCGCGUGCGGGAUGACGGCCUUCGGGUUGUAAACCGCUUUCGCCUGUGACGAAGCGUGAGUGACGGUAAUGGGUAAAGAAGCACCGGCUAACUACGUG